CCUACGGGGUGCUGCAGUGAGGAAUAUUGGUCAAUGGACGCAAGUCUGAACCAGCCAUGCCGCGUGCAGGAUGACGGCUCUAUGAGUUGUAAACUGCUUUUGUACGAGGGUAAACCCCGAUACGUGUAUCGGGAUGAAAGUAUCGUACGAAUAAGGAUCGGCUAACUCCGUGCCAGCAGCCGCGGUAAUACGGAGGAUCCGAGCGUUAUCCGGAUUUAUUGGGUUUAAAGGGUGCGUAGGCGGUUUGAUAAGUUAGAGGUGAAAUGUCGGGGCUCAACACCGAAACUGCCUCGAAAACUGUUGGACUGGAGAAUAGUUGCGGUAGGCGGAAUGUAUGGUGUAGCGGUGAAAUGCUUAGAGAUCAUACAGAACACCGAUUGCGAAGGCAGCUGACCAAACUAUAUCUGACGUUGAGGCACGAAAGCGUGGGUAGCAAACAGGAUUAGAUACCCGGGUAGUC
rnacentral:rRNA from 1 species